UACGAAGGGGGCUAGCGUUGCUCGGAAUCACUGGGCGUAAAGGGUGCGUAGGCGGGUCUUUAAGUCAGGGUGAAAUCCUGGAGCUCAACUCCAGAACUGCCUUUGAUACUGAAGAUCUUGAGUUCGGGAGAGGUGAGUGGAACUGCGAGUGUAGAGGUGAAAUUCGUAGAUAUUCGCAAGAACACCAGUGGCGAAGGCGGCUCACUGGCCCGAUACUGACGCUGAGGCACGAAAGCGUGGGGGGAGCAAACAGG
rnacentral:rRNA from 1 species